rnacentral:rRNA from 1 species
CCUACGGGAGGCAGCAGUGAGGAAUAUUGGUCAAUGGCCGGAAGGCUGAACCAGCCAAGCCGCGUGAGGGAGGAAGGCGCAGAGCGUCGCAGACCUCUUUUGCCGGGGGACAAAAGGCCGGACGCGUCCGGUCCUGAGGGUACCCGGAGAAAAAGCAUCGGCUAACUCCGUGCCAGCAGCCGCGGUAAUACGGAGGAUGCGAGCGUUAUCCGGAUUUAUUGGGUUUAAAGGGUGCGCAGGCGGUCCUUUAAGUCGGCGGUGAAAUCGCGGGGCUCAACCCCGGCGAGCCGUGGAAACUGGGGGCCUUGAGUUCGCCAGAGGCAUGCGGAAUGCGCGGUGUAGCGGUGAAAUGCAUAGAUAUCGCGCAGAACCCCGAUUGCGAAGGCAGCGUGCCGGGGCGACACUGACGCUGAGGCACGAAAGCGCGGGGAUCGAACAGGAUUAGAUACCCGUGUAGUC